rnacentral:misc_RNA from 1 species
GAUGAAGAACGCAGCGAAAUGCGAUAAUUAAUGUGAAUUGCAGAAUUCCAUGAAUCAUUGAGUCUUUGAACGCACUGCGCCUCAUGGCAUUCCGUGAGGCAUGCCCAUCUCAGCGUUAGAAAAUAUUCUCAAAUUUUAGUUUUAUGCUAAAAUUUGGAUCAUGUCAAAGAAGCUAUUACUAUUAUUGUGAUCGCUCUUUGGAAAUUGAUAGGUCUUUGAGUUGCUACUCAUAGAACGUGAUGAAUCUUUCUUCGUUCUAUUGUAAUUCACUCUGGUAGUCCUAAAACUUGUAUGCCUGUGGCAUAUCUUGUAAUUUGACCUGAGAUUGGGUAGGGAUACCCGCUGAACUUAAGCAUAUCAAUAAGCGGAGGA